CUGGUAUAUUGUGAACAAACAAAAUUGUGGCUAAAGCCACAUUCGCUAAACAAUAUAAUAAAACCGUAAGGAGACCCGGUCUUUUUAUUGAUGAAGAAUUUGGAUUUUUAGCAGCUAGCUGUGAUGGUGUUAUAGAAGAUGAAAAAGCGGUUAUUGAGAUCCAAUGCUUUUACUUCUUUAGUAAGAAAAUCACUUAACAUAGAAACAGCAGCAUCACAAAUAAAAAAUUUUGCUGUACAAUAUGAUGGCCAAAAACUUACUUUGAAUAAAAGACAUGACUAUUAUUAUCAAGUGCAGGGUCAAUUGUGAAUUACCAAAAUGGUCAAAUGUUACUUUGUUUGUUUUGUCUCCUUACAACAACCAGUCACGGUUGUGGAAGUUCUUCGAGAUGAUGAAUUUAUUAGCAAUAUGAUGCCUAAACUUGUAGCAUUUUACAAAAAUUUUAUACUACCAGAAAUUAUUUUGCGACGAAUUAAACAAAAUGCUAAAUGUGUAGAUUUUACUGAUGUAAUAGAUAUAACUUCUUCGACGUCAAAUUAGUACCGUGACUUCAAGCAACAUCGUUUAUUUCUGGAAUUUGUCUUCAUUCAGUUUUAGAAAACAAAUCAUGAUUGCAUUAAAGAAAAAUGAGAGCCAAAUAUUUCAAAAGGGAGACGUAUUCGAGCCUGCGACGAUCUUGGAAAAGAGUUCAAGUAGCUCUAAAAAAGGUA